GGUAUCCUGUGUUGCUUACCAAUGAAAUGGAAUUUGAUAGUCUUGAAAUGCGGAUUCGCCUUGUGCUCUUUGGGGGGCGAGGUGGACAUACGGUGAGCACUGUGUUCCUAACAUGCCAAGCGCAUUGGUGUUUGGUUGUUGUGGCCUAUGGUGUCUUUGCUUGUUCUCUCGGAUGCGGAAAGCUAAGUGUGGGUGUAAGGUCUCGACCUUGAAUCAUCCUAGCACUGUCUUUUGACUCGAAUAACUGCUGUGCCUGACUUGAUUUUCCCGACCAAGGCCUCGUAAUGGGGCUUACUGGACGAGGGUGGAUCAUGCAGGUGUUGGCGUAAAGAGAAAAG
rnacentral:misc_RNA from 1 species